GAACAACGAGAAGGAGAAGAAGAGAAAAUUGAUAUAUGUAAAGUAUAUUGUUGUUUGUACGAUGAGUGAGUAAAGGGGAACAUAGAAGGAUACAUAUAUAGGAGAUAAAAGAGAGGAAAGAACAGAAAAACAAAAAACAAUAAAUGAGAAGCGGUGAAGCGGUGCGGUGCAGUGGAUUUAGUUGGAACAUUAUUUCUGACACCUCACAAGUAAGCCAAUGGUGGAAAUGGAGCAAGGUGAAAAUAAAGGAAGCAUGGAUAGGACUACAAUAGUAACGAAAAUGGCACUUAACUACUAUAGUGACAACGGAAAUCACACCUAACAAGUGGAGUGGCAACGAAGAAAAUGACACAUCACAUGUUAUCUAGCGGUGGAAAUGAAUCACAAAUAGAGCGUAAAAAGGUGAAAAUAGUGAAAGAAUGCAACAAAACACAAGUUUUCAAAGGUAGAGGAGAAGAAAAUGUGAAUUUUGUAGCGACACAAUGUAAUAGGAUCCCUUGUUAGGUAUGUAAAUUUUCAAAAAUUAACUUUACAAUUACAAUGAAAAUUUUGUAAUUAUUGGCCAACAAUAGGCAUCAAUUUUAAAAUAACCAAAG
rnacentral:lncRNA from 1 species